UUUAAAUGAAAUGAAAUGAAUUAGUAAUGACCGGUCCCUCUUCCUGGGAACGCGGGGCGGCUGGCCGGGGGCUGCCUUGGCCCGCGGGAGGGUGGGCGGGGGUGGGGGCGGCCCUGCGGGGCUCGAGGGCUUCGGGCCGGGGCGGGGGCGCCGCGAGGACUGGGAGCGCGCUGGGGUUGCACCCGCCGCACUGCAGGGCCCCUCACCCGGCCCAGGACGCGGAGGGGGCUUCCUUGCCCCGGCCCCUCGCCUGGGGUCGCCUCCUCUGCCUUCCUCCCUGCCUCGGCCGCGCCUUGCUGUGGGCCCGGAGGCUACCCCGCUCCUGGGGUGCUGCGGCCACGGGCGGGGAGGCCGGCGCCCUCUUCCCCGGGCUCGGGGGCCCCUGUGCCAACAAUGAGGGCACCUCCCUGCCCCACUCGAGCCCCCCCCCCAGUCCCGCCCUGAGUGGCCCCAUCACCUCCGCGGGGGCCCCUCUCCUGCACCCAGCACUUCCUUCCCACCGCCGCAUCCCAUCCCCUGUUCCACAGACGUUCAGCUCAGGGGGUCCCCUCCGCUCCCCACAGCCGUCGCCCUCCGUCCUCUUCUCCCUCUGGGCGCCGCCGGGUCUGGUUUCAGGCGCGUCCCGAGUCGUCCGCGCCCGCAGGGCCUUCUUCGGUCAGCGGUUUUCCUUCGUGUAGGUCCCCUUCCCAGUAUACCGGGACGUACGUACACGAUCUUUUAUAUGAAAAGAUUUAUCGUGAUUGGAGUUUUAAAUUCAAUCAAUAAUUCAUUCCAAAAAUGUAACUUGAGCCCAGUGCUCGCAGGCCCGGCCACCGCUGUGAGCAAGCCAGGAGGUCCCCCUGCCUCCCUGGGCUGCAGGGGGUGUGCACGUCCGCUGUGAGCUUUCACCUUGUCUGCGCUUUUAAAGACCCUUGCAUGUUUCUGAGAGAGGCUGGCCCACAGCUUCCAGCAAACUUCAUCCUGAGGCAGGCAGUUGUCCCUGCUACAUCCAGUCCCUGCACCCAGUCACCCCAGAUGAACCCAGUUACCCCAAGUAACCCAAGCACCUCCAGUUAGCAGUCCCUACCAGGUAACCCAGUCACCCCAACAAUGCAGGCACCCCAGAUAAAUCAACUCACCUUCAGAUAACAGUCGCUUCUCCCAUAACCUAUUCACCCCAGAUAGUCACCCCCAGAUAACCCAGUCACUACCAGAUAAACCAAUCACCCCAAAUAAUGCAGGCACCUCUCACAUAUUCACCCGGUAAGUCAGUCAUCUCAGAUAAAAUAAUCACCCCCAAAUAACCAAGUCACCCUUCAGAUAACCAGAUAAACCAGUCAUCUCCUGGAUAAGCCAGGUACCCCUCAGAUAACUCAUCCCAUAUAUCCAUCACCCCCAAAUAACCAUCACCCCAGAGAACCCAGCCACCCUUCAAAUAACCAAGCCAGCCCCAGACAACUCAGUCACUCCCAGAUAACCCAGCACAGUGAUUUCCAGACCCUCUGAGUGCCCUGGGUGUGGCUGCUGAGUGGGCACCUGUUUGUCAGAUGCACUUUCUGCUUUCGCAGGGGUGCCUCUUGGUGCUUUCCACAAGUGCUGGGCCAGUCCAUGCUCUCACCAUCGGUGAAAAAUCUUCCUGUCCCUGUAUUCUUUCCAGCUCUCAGCCCUAUCCACCCUCUAGUAUCUGCCAUUCUGAGGGGUGGAGUGUAGCUUCACAGUGCUUUUGAGUUUCUUUAUUCCUCGUGGUUUGUGUACAUGGGCUGUUCAAACCCCCUGCACACUGCAUCACUGGUGCUCACUGCAACCCUGAACUCCUGGGCUCAAGCAAUCCUCCCACCUUGGCACCCCCAAGUAGCUGGCAUUAUAGCUGCACACCACCACGCCCUGUUUUCAUUUUUCUUGAGACAAGGUCUCAGUUGCCCAAGCUGGAGUGCAACAGUGUGAUCUUGGCUCACUGCAACCUCCAUCUCCUAGGCUCAAGGGAUCCUCCCACUUCAGCCUCCCAAGUAGCUGGGACUGCAGGUGUGCACCACCACACCUGGCCUUAAAAUUUCCUUAUCUGUAAAAACAGGGUAUCAUUAUAUUGCCCAGGAUGGUCUCAAACUCCUGAUCCACCCUGCCUUGGCCUCCCACAGUGCUGGGCUUGCAGGCUUGGGAAUGAAGGCGUGAGGCAUGCUGGGUUUGCAGGCGUGGGACUGCAGGCGUGAGGCAUGCUGGGCUUGCAGGCGUGGGACUGCAGGCGUGAGGCAUGCUGGGCUUGCAGGCGUGGGACUGCAGGCGUGAGGCAUGCUGGGCUUGCAGGCGUGGGACUGCAGGCGUGAGGCAUGCUGGGCUUGCAGGCGUGGGACUGCAGGCGUGAGGCAUGCUGGGCUUGCAGGCGUGGGAUUGCAGGCCUGAGCCAUGCUGGGCUUGCAGGCCUGGGAGUGCAGGCGUGGGAGCUUGAGAAGAGGAAUGUCUGUGGCAGAGCCGAAACCGGAACUCAAACUCGGCACCCUGGCUGCCAUCCUCAUUCCGGAGGGGCCUGGACAAGCAUAGCAGGGGCCAGAGUGAAACGGUGAACAAGCUUUCUGAGCUUCUAUAUCCAUGAAGAUGAAAAACAGGAAAAGAACUGUCUCAUUUCAGCCCUAAGUAAUAUCUUCCCAUGAAGAUAUGAACUGUUUGCAAAGAAACACCAUACAGAUUAAGUAAUGCAUUUCUGGCCAGGCAUGGUGGCUCUUGCCUGUAAUCCCAGCAUUUUGGGAGGCUGAGGCAGGUGGAUCACUUGAGGCCAGGAGUUGAGACCAACCUGGCCAACACGGCAAAACCCUGUCUCUACUAAAAAUACAAAACUUAGCCAGGCACGGUAGCACGUGCCUGUAAUCCCAGCUACUCAGGAGGCUGAAGCAGAAGAAUCGCUUGAACCUGGAAGGUAGAGAGGGCAGUGAGCCAAGAUCGCACCACCCCACUCCAGCCUGGCCAAGAGUGAGACUCAGUCUCUCAAAAAAAAAAAAAAAAAAAAGCAUUUCCAAUUCAAUUUUAUUUUUAUGCUUAUUUUUGAAAAU